AGUGAACGCUGGCGGUAGGCCUAACACAUGCAAGUCGAACGGCAGCACAGUAAGAGCUUGCUCUUACGGGUGGCGAGUGGCGGACGGGUGAGGAAUACAUCGGAAUCUACUUUUUCGUGGGGGAUAACGUAGGGAAACUUACGCUAAUACCGCAUACGACCUACGGGUGAAAGCAGGGGAUCUUCGGACCUUGCGCGAUUGAAUGAGCCGAUGUCGGAUUAGCUAGUUGGCGGGGUAAAGGCCCACCAAGGCGACGAUCCGUAGUUGGUCUGAGAGGAUGAUCAGCCACACUGGAACUGAGACACGGUCCAGACUCCUACGGGAGGCAGCAGUGGGGAAUAUUGGACAAUGGGCGCAAGCCUGAUCCAGCCAUACCGCGUGGGUGAAGAAGGCCUUCGGGUUGUAAAGCCCUUUUGUUGGGAAAGAAAAGCAGCAGGUUAAUACCCCGCUGUUCUGACGGUACCCAAAGAAUAAGCACCGGCUAACUUCGUA
rnacentral:rRNA from 1 species